ensembl:lncRNA
GCAAGUCAUGUAAUGCUACAUUUCUCCAAACCUGUUCUGAUGAAGAAACAAACUCAUCUAUAGCUUGGAUGGCCUGCAGGUGAGUAAACUUAAAUUUUUGUGAAAUGGGACCAUAUUGUGUGCGUCACCACUCAUUUUUGUUUGCACCAUUAAAAACGAGGAACAAAAACAAACAUCUCACUCUCUGCAGAAGUACGUGGAAGGAGACGGGCCACGGCUCCCAUCUCGUGGCCAUUGCUCUCAGAUGCUGGGUCAUUGAGGCUGUCUGCUGGUGCCAAGGCUUCAGUUGGAAGAGCAGCUGCGGCUGCUUCAGCGCUUAACUGCUGGGCUGCGGCCGCCUGCGCCUCCUGGAGCUGCUGCUGUUGCUGAACCAGAGCAGCGAGUUCCUGCUGGGUCAAAACUAUAGGGAUGGUGGUGGUUUGCUGCCCAUCCUGACCUGCGUUUCCCUCACCUGAGACAGAAAGUAAAGUCAAGCAGAGAAGUCAAACUCUACUGCAUACAUCAUAAUGCAUAUGGCAGUCUCUCGUACACUUACUGAGCACAGCCUGCUGAGCCGCCUGUAGGACAGCCUGGAUGGCAAGGGCCUGGGCUUCUUCUGUAGCCGCAGCCUGUGCUGCAGCCUCGGCCGCUGCAGUCACAGCCAGCUCCUCUGGCGUCAGUCCAGUCACCAUGAGGGUGGUUUGCUGCCCUUCUGCAGACAUCAGCUCCUGGGGCAAAGCGAGGGCUUCUGAGUCUUGAGCUGCGAGGCUCAUCGAUUCUGCACCCUCCACACCGGCCUCCAUCUGCUGUCUCAGCCUGAUCCCCUUGACCUGGCUGUGCUUCCAUGGCGACAUGAACCUGUAGCAUGGUGCCCUCCUCUCCCCCUGCACUUUCAUCUAUGGCAACGACCCUGACAGCUCUCUCUUCAGCCAGCUCUCCCUGACACUCAGUCUGCAUAGGCUCUUCUCCCGCUGCUGCGGCCUCAGUGCUGGUCUGCUCCAUGGCCUCCGCCUCGCCCGGGACCUCAGCCACCACCGCAGAUCCAGCCAUAGACGAAAUCUCC